rnacentral:rRNA from 1 species
UAUUCGGAAUUACUGGGCGUAAAGCGCACGUAGGCGGCUUUGUAAGUUAGAGGUGAAAGCCUGGAGCUCAACUCCAGAACUGCCCUUAAGACUGCAUCGCUUGAAUCCAGGAGAGGUGAGUGGAAUUCCGAGUGUAGAGGUGAAAUUCGUAGAUAUUCGCAAGAACACCAGUGGCGAAGGCGGCUCACUGGCCCGGUACUGACGCUGAGGUGCGAAAGCGUGGGGAGCAAACAGG